rnacentral:rRNA from 1 species
CAAUAGCGUAUAUUAAAGUUGUUGCAGUUAAAAAGCUCGUAGUUGAAUUUUUGCUUGCCGCCGAUGUCGGAACUUCCGUACGUUCGGCGGCGUGCAUCCUUGGGUGGAACCUGUGUGGCAUUAGGUUGUCGUGCAGGGGAUGCUCAUCGUUUACUGUGAAAAAAUUAGAGUGUUCAAAGCAGGCUUACGCCGUUGAAUAUAUUAGCAUGGAAUAAUAAGAUAGGACCUUGGUACUAUUUUGUUGGUUUGCGCACCGAGGUAAUGAUUAACAGGGACAGUUGGGGGUAUUCGUAUUCCAUUGUCAGAGGUGAAAUUCUUGGAUUUCUGGAAGACGGACUACUGCGAAAGCAUUUACCAAGGAUGUUUUCAUUAA